rnacentral:tRNA from 1 species
GAGCCCGUAGCUCAGCACGGAUAGAGCACAGCCCUCCUAAGGCUGGGGUCGAGGGUUCGAAUCCCCCCGGGCUCGCCA